rfam:Gossypium arboreum cultivar AKA8401 contig_44782_1, whole genome shotgun sequence.
GCUGAAAUAGCUCAGUUGGUUAGAGCGUGUGGCUGGUUAACCACAAGGUCGGAGGUUCAAGCCUUCUUUCUAGCG